GCGAGUGAGGGCCCUCUGGGUCCAACCUCCCACCCGUGUUUAUCGUACCUUGUUGCUUCGGCGGGCCCCCCUCACGGCCGCCGGGGGGCAUCCGCCCCCGGGCCCGCGCCCGCCGAAGACACACAAACGAACUCUUGUCUGAAGAUUGCAGUCUGAGUACUUGACUAAAUCAGUUAAAACUUUCAACAACGGAUCUCUUGGUUCCGGCAUCGAUGAAGAACGCAGCGAAAUGCGAUAAGUAAUGUGAAUUGCAGAAUUCAGUGAAUCAUCGAGUCUUUGAACGCACAUUGCGCCCCCUGGUAUUCCGGGGGGCAUGCCUGUCCGAGCGUCAUUGCAGCCCUCAAGCACGGCUUGUGUGUUGGGCUCUCGCCCCCCGCUUCCGGGGGGCGGGCCCGAAAGGCUGCGGCGGCACCGCGUCCGGUCCUCGAGCGUAUGGGGCUUCGUCACCCGCUCUGUAGGCCCGGCCGGCGCCCGCCGGCGAACACCAUCAAUCUUAACCAGG
rnacentral:misc_RNA from 1 species